GACGAACGCUGGCGGCGUGCCUAAUACAUGCAAGUAGAACGCUGAAGAGAGGAGCUUGCUCUUCUUGGAUGAGUUGCGAACGGGUGAGUAACGCGUAGGUAACCUGCCUUGUAGCGGGGGAUAACUAUUGGAAACGAUAGCUAAUACCGCAUAACAAUGGAUGACACAUGUCAUUUAUUUGAAAGGGGCAAUUGCUCCACUACAAGAUGGACCUGCGUUGUAUUAGCUAGUAGGUGAGGUAACGGCUCACCUAGGCGACGAUACAUAGCCGACCUGAGAGGGUGAUCGGCCACACUGGGACUGAGACACGGCCCAGACUCCUACGGGAGGCAGCAGUAGGGAAUCUUCGGCAAUGGGGGCAACCCUGACCGAGCAACGCCGCGUGAGUGAAGAAGGUUUUCGGAUCGUAAAGCUCUGUUGUAAGUCAAGAACGAGUGUGAGAGUGGAAAGUUCACACUGUGACGGUAGCUUACCAGAAAGGGACGGCUAACUACGUGCCAGCAGCCGCGGUAAUACGUAGGUCCCGAGCGUUGUCCGGAUUUAUUGGGCGUAAGCGAGCGCGGCGGUUUGAUAAGUCUGAAGUUAAGGCUGUGGCUCAACCAUAGUUCGCUUUGGAAACUGUCAAACUUGAGUGCAGAAGGGGAGAGUGGAAUUCCAUGUGUAGCGGUGAAAUGCGUAGAUAUAUGGAGGAACACCGGUGGCGAAAGCGGCUCUCUGGUCUGUAACUGACGCUGAGGCUCGAAAGCGUGGGGAGCGAACAGGAUUAGAUACCCUGGUAGUCCACGCCGUAAACGAUGAGUGCUAGGUGUUGGAUCCUUUCCGGGAUUCAGUGCCGCAGCUAACGCAUUAAGCACUCCGCCUGGGGAGUACGACCGCAAGGUUGAAACUCAAAGGAAUUGACGGGGGCCCGCACAAGCGGUGGAGCAUGUGGUUUAAUUCGAAGCAACGCGAAGAACCUUACCAGGUCUUGACAUCCCGAUGCUAUUUCUAGAGAUAGAAAGUUACUUCGGUACAUCGGUGACAGGUGGUGCAUGGUUGUCGUCAGCUCGUGUCGUGAGAUGUUGGGUUAAGUCCCGCAACGAGCGCAACCCCUAUUGUUAGUUGCCAUCAUUCAGUUGGGCACUCUAGCGAGACUGCCGGUAAUAAACCGGAGGAAGGUGGGGAUGACGUCAAAUCAUCAUGCCCCUUAUGACCUGGGCUACACACGUGCUACAAUGGUUGGUACAACGAGUUGCGAGUCGGUGACGGCAAGCUAAUCUCUUAAAGCCAAUCUCAGUUCGGAUUGUAGGCUGCAACUCGCCUACAUGAAGUCGGAAUCGCUAGUAAUCGCGGAUCAGCACGCCGCGGUGAAUACGUUCCCGGGCCU
rnacentral:rRNA from 1 species